GGAAGUUAAGAAACUGUUUCUUAACUUUUAACUAAAAAAAACUAAAAAUUGGUUCUUAAAUAGGGACUUUAAGAACCGGUUCUUAGCCUUUUUAGUUAAAAGCUAAGAAACAGUUUAUUAUCUUCC
rfam:Brassica napus, WGS project CCCW01000000 data, contig: 1713